rnacentral:rRNA from 1 species
GACGAACGCUGGCGGCGUGCCUAAUACAUGCAAGUAGAACGCUGAAGGAGGAGCUUGCUUCUCUGGAUGAGUUGCGAACGGGUGAGUAACGCGUAGGUAACCUGCCUGGUAGCGGGGGAUAACUAUUGGAAACGAUAGCUAAUACCGCAUAAUAGCAGUUGUUGCAUGACAACUGUUUGAAAGGUGCACUUGCACCACUACCAGAUGGACCUGCGUUGUAUUAGCUAGUUGGUGGGGUAACGGCUCACCAAGGCGACGAUACAUAGCCGACCUGAGAGGGUGAUCGGCCACACUGGGACUGAGACACGGCCCAGACUCCUACGGGAGGCAGCAGUAGGGAAUCUUCGGCAAUGGACGGAAGUCUGACCGAGCAACGCCGCGUGAGUGAAGAAGGUUUUCGGAUCGUAAAGCUCUGUUGUAAGAGAAGAACGAGUGUGAGAGUGGAAAGUUCACACUGUGACGGUAUCUUACCAGAAAGGGACGGCUAACUACGUG